AUUGAACGCUGGCGGCAGGCCUAACACAUGCAAGUCGAACGCGUGGCGGACGGGUGAGUAAUGUCUGGGAAACUGCCUGAUGGAUGGGGAUAACUACUGGAAACGGUAGCUAAUACCGCAUACCAUCAGAUGUUCCCAGAUGGGAUUAGCUAGUGGGUGAGGUAACGGCUUACCACGGCGACGAUCCCUAGCUGGUCUGAGAGGUUGACCAGCCAAACUGGAACUGAGACACGGUCCAGACUCCUACGGGAGGCAGCAGUGGGGAAUAUUGCACAAUGGGCGCAAGCCUGAUGCAGCCAUGCCGCGUGUAUGAAGAAGGCCUUCGGGUUGUAAAGCACUUUCAGUGGGGAGGCGUUACCUACUGAGGAAGCACCGGCUAACUCCGUGCCAGCAGCCGCGGUAAUAC
rnacentral:rRNA from 1 species